CCUGCCUUUGUUGCACAAAAAGCGACGGAGCCGCUAGUAGCUAUCAGAGAAACCGAGAAUGUAUGGAGCAGGGCGUGUCUAUCCACAACACCCUCAAGGCUGAAUACAGUUGGGGAGACCAGACGCUGCCAGACGUCACAUGCAUUUUUUUAAAGUUUCCCAGAAGUGCUUGGAUAUUUCUGCCCCUUAAUUCCCAUUCCUUGGGGAGUACAUUGAUGGGUUAAUAAAAAAUGCCUGCAGGUGGAGCUUGACCAAACACUUGUAGGUAAGAAACACCUAUUAGCUUAUUUUCCCCCUUGCCCUUUAAUUUCCAUGGAGAUAAGUGAAUAAAC
rnacentral:lncRNA from 10 species